UUGGCCCUCUGACUGGACUGGACAAUGUCCUCCUCGUGCCCCACGUCAUGCCUGCCCAUUCUAUGGUCCAUGCAAACCCAAAAGCCAGGCGGUUAGGGGCAGUGGUGCAUGAGUGCCCACUUCUAAAACAGCAGCCGCACCUCUGGUCAGCGGCUCUGGGGGUGCCGGCCUCCUUUGCAGGUCAAGGGACAUCUGGACAGCAGAAACAGCCCUGUCCUUCCGGCUCUGGGGUGCAGCACCCACCCAAGGCUGUGGGGAGGAGGCCUGAGCGGGCAGCCGGGUGCCGGUGGUCAGGCAGGGAUCCUACUCAACAGGCCCCUCCAUGGGCACAGUCGGCCUGGUGUCCCUGCCUGACCCUCCACUGGGACAGCCGGUUGGUUCCUGGGAAGUCCUGGCCCCUCACCCUCAAAGUUGGUACAAUCUUCAUAUUCACCCCAAGGGUUGACUGGAGAUGAAAGCCCCUCCCAAGGAUCAACACAAGGCCUGGAAGCAGGAAGGCCCCAAACCGGAAGCCAAUCAGUCUGAAUACUAUUUCACUAUAUGAAACUUUGAGACUGAAACCAUCGAAAGCCUAGACUGCAACACAAGUGCCUUGAAGACAUUUGCAGGAGAAACCCCACUGCAAGGACACAGGGUCCUGGGGCGGGACCUGCUGCUGACUGGGAGGUGUGAAAAGAAAUAGGCACGUAAGCUGCAUUCCUGGAUGACCAGCCCUAACUGGCCCCCAUCUGCGUAGGAGGCACCAGGCGCUGGGGGCUGAUGGCUUUGGCCAUUUUAGCCCAGCAGAGGAGUCCCUGCUGGCUGCACUGGGCCGCCAGGUGAGUGGGCAGGUGUGGACAAGGCUUCCCUGCUGAGGUGUGAUUUCUGUGCUGGGCCAUUCCCUAGGCUGAGCCUCACCAGUGAAGAGAGUCAACAGGGUUGUCACUGGGAGGAAAGAGACGAUUUCGUCAGUAAGACUGAGGGGCCCAGAAGCUGACCCUUUUGGCUCAAAGCAGGUGAGCAGGUCACCAGGAGAUCAGCAUGAGGCCGACAGCUGCCCGGCCAGGGCCACUCUCCUGCUCCCCCAGCACACGCUUGCCAAAGAGUGGGGAUUCCUGGGCGGGGAAAUGAUUGUCUCCUCACAUGAUAGACACACCCGCCGCGAGCCAAGGUGAGCAGGGUCUGCAGGACAGCGAGGGCCCUGACCUCAUGUGCAGCAAGGCUCAUGUGGAUGGACGCUGCAGCCACUGCGCGGCGGUCCUGGGAGGGUCCCUGUGCUCGGGCGUUACCCCCCCCCCACCACGAGAGCUCAACUGUCUCAAACUGCUCAUCCUGGACAUGAGAUGGGCCCUGUCCAGCCAGGCCAGGGGGCGCAUUCCACAUCUCACUCUCUAGAGUCUCCCGGGGAACCCCACACCCCAGACAGCCCCGAGAGUGCUGUGGUCACACCUGCAGAACUAACCCGAGUGACAGCAUAAUGGCUGGUGUUUUCACAUCAUUUCUGUGUUCCUUAAUAAAAGAAUCGGUUUGAAAAGUAAACUGCUUCAAAAUACCGCUGAGGGAGGGGGAGGGACACAGCUACUUUUGAGAAUCUGAAUUUAUAAACUGCUGAAAUGCACUAUCCUACUGACAAAAGAACUUUGUUUGCCA